AAAGAUGGGCCUGCGGCGUAUUAACUAGUUGGUGAGGUAAUGGCUCACCAAGGUAACGAUGCGUAGCCGAACUGAGAGGUUGAACGGCCACACUGGGACUGAGACACGGCCCAGACUCCUACGGGAGACAGCAGUUAGGAAUAUUCGUCAAUGGGGGAAACCCUGAACGAGCAAUGCCGCGUGAGUGAUGAAGGUCUUCUGGAUUGUAAAACUCUGUUGUAUGGAAAAAAUGACUAUAUUAGGAAAUGAAUAUAGAGUGAUGGUACCAUACGAGAAAGCUCCGGCUAACUACGUGCCAGCAGCCGCGGUAAUACGUAGGGAGCGAGCGUUAUCCGGAUUUAUUGGGCGUAAAGCGUGCGUAGGCGGUUUAUUAAGUUUAAGAUGAAAGGCUGGGGCUCAACUCCAGUUUGUCUUAAAAACUGGUAAGCUUGAGUAUGGUAGAGGUAAAUGGAAUUUCUAGUGUAGCGGUGGAAUGCGUAGAUAUUAGAAGGAACACCAGUGGCGAAAGCGAUUUACUAGGCCAAAACUGACGCUGAGGCACGAAAGCGUGGGGAGCAAAUAGGAUUAGAUACCCUAGUAGUCCACGCCGUAAACGAUGAGUACUAAGUGUUGGGGAAACUCAGUGCUGAAGCUAACGUAUUAAGUACUCCGCCUGAGUAGUAC
rnacentral:rRNA from 1 species